rnacentral:rRNA from 1 species
UACAGAGGUCUCGAGCGUUGUUCGGAUUCAUUGGGCGUAAAGGGCGCGUAGGCGGCGGGGUAAGUCUGGUGUGAAAUCUCGGAGCUCAACUCCGAAAUUGCACUGGAUACUGCUCUGCUAGAGGGCUGGAGAGGAGAUCGGAAUUCACGGUGUAGCAGUGAAAUGCGCAGAUAUCGGGAGGAACACCGGUGGCGAAGGCGGUUCUCUGGGCCUUACCUGACGCUGAGGAGCGAAAGCGUGGGGAGCAAACAGG